rnacentral:rRNA from 1 species
GACGAACGCUGGCGGCGUGCCUAAUACAUGCAAGUAGAACGCUGAAGGAGGAGCUUGCUUCUCUGGAUGAGUUGCGAACGGGUGAGUAACGCGUAGGUAACCUGCCUGGUAGCGGGGGAUAACUAUUGGAAACGAUAGCUAAUACCGCAUAAUAGUAGAUGUUGCAUGACAUUUGCUUAAAAGGUGCAAUUGCAUCACUACCAGAUGGACCUGCGUUGUAUUAGCUAGUUGGUGAGGUAACGGCUCACCAAGGCAACGAUACAUAGCCGACCUGAGAGGGUGAUCGGCCACACUGGGACUGAGACACGGCCCAGACUCCUACGGGAGGCAGCAGUAGGGAAUCUUCGGCAAUGGACGGAAGUCUGACCGAGCAACGCCGCGGGAGUGAAGAAGGUUUUCGGAUCGUAAAGCUCUGUUGUAAGAGAAGAACGAGUGUGAGAGUGGAAAGUUCACACUGUGACGGUAGCUUAACAGAAAGGGACGGCUAACUACGUG